UCUCUGCCGGGCUACGGUCACAGGUUCGAUCCCCAGCGAAAAGCGGUAGGUUCGAUCCCUGGCCAAGUGGUACGCUCUCUACCGGGCUACGGUCACAGGUUCGAUAGGGUUCGAUCCCUGGCCAAAUGGUAUGCUCUCUGCCAGGCUACGGCCACAGGUUCGAUCCCCAGCGAAAAGCGGUAGGUUCGAUCCCUGGCCAAGUGGUACGCUCUCUGCAGGGCUACGGUCACAGGUUCGAUCCCCAGGGAAAAGCGGUAGGUUCGAUCCCUGCCCAAGUGGUACGCUCUCUGCAAGGCUACGGUCACAGGUUCGAUCCCAGAGAAAAGUGGAAGGUUCGAUCCCAGGCCAAGUGGUAUGCUCUGUGCCGGACUACGGUCACAGGUUCGAUCCCAGCGAAAAGCGGUAGGUUCGAUCCCUGGCCAAGUGGUACGCUCUCUGCCGGGCUACGGUCACAGGUUCGAUCCCCAGUGAAAAGCGGUAGGUUCGAUCCCUGGCCAAGUGGUACGCUCUCUGCCGGGCUACGGUCACAGGUUCGAUCCCCAGCGAAAAGCGGUAGGUUCGUUCCCUGGCCAAGUGGUACGCUCUCUGCCGGGCUACGGUCAUAGGUUCGAUCCCAGCAAAAAGUGGUAGGUUCGAUCCCUGGCCAAGUGGUACGCUCUCUGCCGGGCUAUGUCACAGGUUCAAUCCCCAGCGAAAAGCGGUAGGUUCGAUCCCUGGCCAAGUGGUACGCUCUCUGCCGGGCUACGGUCACAGGUUCGAUCCCCAGCGAAAAGCGGUAGGUUCGAUCCCCAGCGAAAAGCGGUAGGUUCGAUCCAUGGCCAAGUGGUACGCUCUGCCGGGCUACGGUCACAGGUUCGAUCCCCAGCAAAAAGCGGUAGGUUCCUUCCCUGGCCAAGUGGUACGCUCUCUGCCGGGCUACUUAUCUGCCAAGAGGAAAGUGGUAGGUUCGAUCCCAGGCCAAGUGGUACGCUCUCUGCCGGGCUAUGGUCACAGGUUCGAUCCCAGCAAAAAGUGGUAGGUUCGAUCCCUGGCCAAGUGGUACGCUCUCUGCCCGGCUAUAUCACAGGUUCGAUCCCCAGCGAAAAGCGGUAGGUUCGAUCCCUGGCCAAGUGGUACGCUUCUGCCGGGCUACGGUCACAGGUUCGAUCCCCAGUGAAAAGCGGUAGGUUCGAUCCCUGGCCAAGUGGUACGCUCUCUGGCGGGCUACGGUCACAGGUUCGAUCCCCAGCGAAAAGCGGUAGGUUCGUUCCCUGGCCAAGUGGUACGCUCUCUGCCGGGCUACUUUUCUGCUGAGAGAAAAGUGGUAGGUUCGAUCCCAGGCCAAGUGGUACGCUCUCUGCCGGCCUAUGGUCACAGAUUCGAUCCCCAGCGAAAAGCGGUAGGUUCGAUCCCUGGCCAAGUGGUACGCUCUCUGCCGGGCUACGGUCACAGGUUCGAUCCCAGGGAAAAGCGGUAGGUUCGAUCCCUGGCCAAGUGGUACGCUCUGCCGGGCUACGGUCACAUGUUCGAUCCCCAGCGAAAAGCGGAAGGUUCCUUCCCUGGCCAAGUGGUACGCUCUCUGCCGGGCUACUUUUCUGCCAAGAGGAAAGUGGUAGGUUCGAUCCCAGGCCAAGUGGUACGCUCUCUGCCGGGCUAUGGUCACAGGUUCGAUCCCAGCAAAAAGUGGUAGGUUCGAUCCCUGGCCAAGUGGUACGCUCUCUGCCGGGCUAUAUCACAGGUUUGAUCCCCAGCGAAAAGCGGUAGGUUCGAUCCCUGGCCAAGUGGUACGCUCUCUGCCGGGCUACGGUCACAGGUUCGAUCCCCAGGGAAAAGCGGUAGGUUCGAUCCCUGGCCAAGUGGUACGCUCUCUGGCGGGCUACGGUCACAGGUUCGAUCCCCAGCGAAAAGCGGUAGAUUCGAUCCCCAGCGAAAAGCGGUAGGUUCGAUCCCUGGCCAAGUGGUACGCUCUGCCGGGCUACGGUCACAGGUUCGAUCCCCAGCGAAAAGCGGUAGGUUGGUUCCCUGGCCAAGUGGUACGCUCUCUGCCGGGCUACUUUUCUGCCAAGAGACAAGUGGUAGGUUUGAUCCCAGGCCAAGUGGUACGCUCUCUGCCGGGCUAGUCACAGGUUCGAUCCCAGCAAAAAGUGGUAGGUUCGAUCCCUGGCCAAGUGGUACAAUCUCUGCUGGGCUACGUCACAGGUUCGAUCCCCAGUGAAAAGCGGUAGGUUCGAUCCCUGGCCAAGUGGUUCGCUCUCUGCCGGGCUACGGUCACAGGUUCGAUCCCCAGCGAAAAGCGGUAGGUUCGAUCCCUGGCCAAGUGGUACGCUCUCUGCCGGGCUACGGUCACAGGUUCGAUCCCCAGCGAAAAGCGGUAGGUUCGUUCCCUGGCCAAGUGGUACGCUCUCUGCCGGGCUACGGUCACAGGUUCGAUCACCAGCGAAAAGCGGUAGGUUCGAUCCCUGGCCAAGUGGUACGCUCUCUGCCGGGCUACGGCCACAGGUUCGAUCCCAGGGAAAAGCGGUAGGUUCGAUCCCUGGCCAAGUGGUACGCUCUCUGCCGGGCUACGGCCACAGGUUCGAUCCCAGGGAAAAGCGGUAGGUUUGAUCCCUGGCCAAGUGGUACGCUCUCUGCCGGGUUACGGUCACAGGUUCGAUCACCAGCGAAAAGCGGUAGGUUCGAUCCCUGGCCAAGUGGUACGCUCUCUGCCGGGCUAAGGUCACAUAUUUGAUCCCAGCACAUGGUAGGUUCUCUGCAUGGCUACACAGGGCACGGCAGUCUGAAAGAUAGCUUAAUCCCCCGCCACUGUUAUCCGUCAAAUAGUUUAGUGGUGGGGGAUUAAAAAUGUUGCUGAAAUCAAACAAACUUACAUAUAUUUAAGAAACCUAUGCAUAUUUAUUCAUGAACAACAAUACAUGCAGUUAUCAGUUUUUGGUUUGGAAAUUACAGUCUAGGAGCCCGAAGUCAGUGUAAUGUAGGAGACUGUCAAGUUGUUAUGUCCAGAACGUAUAUACCUAGUAGACCCAGGUUUUUCUUACUUACUAAUUGCUAGAUAAGCAAGUCUUGCCUAUAAAAAUUAUUCAUUCAAACAUACCAAAAAUUUAAAGAUAAACAUGAAUGUACUUAAUUAAUUUCUGAAACUUAGUCCUAAUGCUCUAGCUGUUCAAAAAUAAAGAAUGGAUUAAUGAUGGGUGACUCACAGUCAGAAAUUAUCUAUCAAACAAUGCAUGUGGGGGCAAACAUCCAAUUAAUAGAUAAUAACAAAGGAAAAGGCAUCGAAUCAACCCAACAAAAACCC
rnacentral:lncRNA from 1 species